rnacentral:rRNA from 1 species
GAUGAACGCUGGCGGCGUGCCUAAUACAUGCAAGUCGAGCGAACAGAUGAGGAGCUUGCUCCUCUGACGUUAGCGGCGGACGGGUGAGUAACACGUGGAUAACCUACCUAUAAGACUGGGAUAACUUCGGGAAACCGGAGCUAAUACCGGAUAAUAUAUUGAACCGCAUGGUUCAAUAGUGAAAGACGGUUUUGCUGUCACUUAUAGAUGGAUCCGCGCCGCAUUAGCUAGUUGGUAAGGUAACGGCUUACCAAGGCAACGAUGCGUAGCCGACCUGAGAGGGGGGAGGGACAGACGUGAAACGAGACGCGGAACAGGAGCAUACGGGAGGGAGCAGCAGGGAAUCGGCCGAAAUGGGCGAAAGACUGAAGGAGCAACUCAGAGGGAAAGAUGAAAGUUUUAGGAACGUAAAAAGCUGUUAAGAGGGAAGAACAAAAGAGAAAGUAACAAUGCAGGGCCAGAAGGUACCUAAUAAGAAAGCGACGACUAACUACGU